CCCCGCGCUCCGUGAGGGGAGGCCGGUCUCGCAGCGGGGGAGACCCCCAGGGGUGGGUGCUCCCGGAAAAUGUGGCUAAAGGAGGAGCAAAAGGCCGCAAAAUCAGAGAGGUGAUAAUCCCAAAAUCGCACCACUGGGACUAUGGCGAUAGUCCCAAAAUGUGGCAGCAUUCCUGUCAGUCACAGCAUCUCAAGAGCUGCAAACCCAACAGGAAGAAGAUAGACAGGAGAACCUCAGGAAAGAUACAGCCUGACUGCUGGGAGUCCAGUUGUUAAUGGGGGGAAGGAGGAGACUGAAAUUCACUAAUGAAUUAUCUGCUCUGUCUGAAAAGAAAUGGAGACGUUGCUUCAGGUUGGGAAGCCAUGCUUCAAAGUCUCUCUGCUCAGCUGCAGAGUGGAGAUAUCUGGGAAUGCCCAAGGUACCAGGCCAGUGCUGGACCUCUUUGCACAGCCGAAACCUUUGAAUUCACCUGCAAGCAGAGGUGCCACGUUUCAGCACUUCAGGAGAGUUGAUCUAGAAAGUGGUAUUAAAGGGAAGAGUGAGAGUAGCCGCCUGUGUGUGUGGUGUCCUUCACUUUAAUUAGGUUAGUUUCUUUCAUGGCAAGUGCUGUCAUACCAAGCUGAAAAAUCAAUACCAUAUGGCACAGCACUCAGAGAGCAAACUUGGAAAUUAAUUAAAGACGAAGUACUUCUGUUAGGUCUCAUAGCAUAGCGCCUACAAUUAGGCAUGGCUGAACUGGUUUGGAAACACGAAGGCUGGGCAACACCUUCACCCAGAGCUGAGCUGGACACUCUACCACUCUGGGGUCAGAAUAAACUGUAAUCUCCCUUUCUUUAUUCCCAAUGGAGAUAUAUUAGAAACAUUGAAAUCACUGUUUUACAUGUUUUCCUGGAUUUUCCUGUGUCUCACUUCCAGCUUGCUGCAGGCCAGGGCAGGGAAGGGAAUCAUUUGUUCUGGGAGGCUUCUGCUUGGCAAGUUGCUGGGUGUGAACACAGAGAAGGUGCUUCCUGGGGGCUCACUGUGCUCCUGGGCUUGGAGCUGGCAAAGCUGUGGGAGGCAGCAGAAAGAAGAAAAUACACAUUGGUUCAGAUGUUGUGACAAUGAACACUGGAUGGACACUUAGAGAAGGGUGAUUUGGAGGCUGGGUGGGCAGAGGUGUCUGGGGGACAAAGAAGGCUGUGUGGUGGGGGAGAGGUGAGGCAGGGAAAAAAAUCAGCCUUCAAGUCAUCAGAGGAGCAACCAGUUCUCACAGGGACCAUUUGCAGCCCAGGCACUUUCCCAUCACUCCUUUACCACCUGGGACCAGUGACUUCUAAGCAAACCUAGUUGGCCCUGAGCUUUUCCAACACCCCUUGCAGUCACAGGCUGUAGCUGGGGCUCUUGGAGUGGUGAGGUAUGCCCUAUUCCCCAGCACAUUAGUGAAUAUCUGAGGACCAGCUAUAUCAGGUUUUCCUAUGGAAGCAAAAGGUGUGUCUGCCACAGACUGGGGUAUUUUACGAUGUUACAUCCAAAGUGAGUGCAGAGAAGCAGCAAUACCCGUGGAACCUUGAUAAGUUGCCUGCACUAGGAUCCAGCAAAAUUUGGCUCCCUGCUCUGCCCCUGUCCUGCUGCCUGGACAUGGGCAAGUCCCUUCCUUUCCCUCUGCCCAUUCCAUAUAGUGUACAGGGCAGAUGCCCAUCACUGCUGACAUCCUCCAGGCUAAAGCACAGUAAGAUCCCCCACACCUCUAUAUCUAGAUAGGUACUCUCAUGGGACCAAAAAAUUUUCUGCUCUCUCAAAUGUAAAAGAAACCUG